UACAGAGGGGGCAAGCGUUAUUCGGAAUUAUUGGGCGUAAAGGCGCGUAGGCGGCCAUUCAAGUGACGGGUGAAAGCCCUCGGCUUAACCGAGGAACUGCCUGUCAGACUGGAUGGCUUGAGACCGGGAGAGGUGAGUGGAAUUCCCAGUGUAGCGGUGAAAUGCGUAGAUAUCAGGAAGAACACCCGUGGCUAAGGCGGCUCUCUAGUACGGUACUGACGCUGAGACGCGAAAGCGUGGGGAGCGAACAGG
rnacentral:rRNA from 1 species